rnacentral:tRNA from 1 species
GUGCAGUUAGCUCAGUUGGUAAGAGCACCCUUCUAGUUUAUGGGUUAAGGUUGUGGGUUCAAAUCCCACAGUGCACA